rnacentral:rRNA from 1 species
CGCUGGCGGCGUGCCUAAUACAUGCAAGUCGAGCGGAUUGUUCCUUCGGGAACAGUUAGCGGCGGACGGGUGAGUAACACGUAGGCAACCUGCCUAUAAGACUGGGAUAACUAUCGGAAACGAUAGCUAAGACCGGAUAAUUGGAUCUUUCGCAUGAGAGAUUCAUGAAACGCGGAGCAAUCUGUGGCUUAUAGAUGGGCCUGCGGCGCAUUAGCUAGUAGGUGAGGUAACGGCUCACCUAGGCGACGAUGCGUAGCCGACCUGAGAGGGUGAUCGGCCACACUGGGACUGAGACACGGCCCAGACUCCUACGGGAGGCAGCAGUAGGGAAUCUUCCGCAAUGGACGCAAGUCUGACGGAGCAACGCCGCGUGAGUGAUGAAGGUUUUCGGAUCGUAAAGCUCUGUUGCCAGGGAAGAACGCUUAGGAGAGUAACUGCUCCUAAGGUGACGGUACCUGAGAAGAAAGCCCCGGCUAACUACGUGCCAGCAGCCGCGGUAAUACGUAGGGGGCAAGCGUUGUCCGGAAUUAUUGGGCGUAAAGCGCGCGCAGGCGG